AAUAAGUACAAUUUUACACUAAUUACAUUUAACAUUUGACCAUUCGUCUUAUUUGAAUUUUUUUAUGAUUAGUAUUUUUAUUGCUAAAUAUUUUCAAAUUUUUCACAAAUUUUUUAAAUAAGACGGACGGUUAAAUAUUGGACACGGAUAUCUACGGCUGUACUUAUU
rnacentral:pre_miRNA from 1 species